rnacentral:lncRNA from 1 species
GCUGUGAAGCAACCCAACCUGUCAAAUGAGGCGACUGGGAAAGAAAUGCCAACCCAGGCAGAAUGCAACUGACUGGCAGAGCUGCCAUGCGAAUUGAGUGGAGACAGUGGCAGGCAAUGAUGGACAGCCCAGUGGGUGGGGAAGCAGACGUUGGCAGGCCAUGAUGGACACCCGAGUGUGAAAGCACAGUGGCAGCAGCAACCAGAAGACUGCAGUGAAUGAAGAACCCUCACCCCAAGCAGCUCCCCGGAAAAGCUGGCUCCAGCCCUAGAGACCUACCAGAGACAGAAGACCAGGAGCACAGAGCAUGUCCCCCAUGUCCUCUGGAAAGUGCAUCUCUGACCCUUCAUCCAAGAAGCUCCUUUGAGAUCAUUACAGAAAGAUACAAGAAGUCAAAUGCAGAGAUCAACUGAAUUCAUGUGUCCCCAGUAAAUACACUUAAAAAACAACCUCUGUACUUAAGGCUCAGGGAACAUCACAGGGAUAUUGUGAGAGCCAGAGGACCAAAACAGCUCUCUUCUAAAAGGAAAGGGGGCGGGGGAAGGGGGGAGGAAACUACUUUGAGAUUUCAUCUUACCCCAGCCAGAAUGG